GCUGUAGCUCAGGAGUAGGGUAUCUGCUUUGCAUGCAGAAAGUUCCAGAUUGAAUCCCUGGCAUCUCCA